GGCCAUCUGCAUGCCGGACGUUUAGAAACUGACUUCUUCGCUGGCGACCGCAAGUGCCUGUGAUUUUUUCUUUCCGUCUACAUUGAACAUCUUAUACUGAAACUCACUGCACCCUGCGUGCCACAGUGCCUCGCUAAGGGGUCUCUGGGUACAAAAUGUCUCUCAAAGGAAAUGUAUCGAGAUACUUGCCAGGAACUAGCUUUAUUCACAUCGUGCUUGGGAGUUGGAGUUGGACUCUUGGGUGCCUGUGCUGGCUCUGUCGUUUGAUGGUAUCUUGGGAACACCGUCGUGGGUGUGCACCCGUGUGGAAAUGGAUCAUUUCUACUUAUCCUACUUACCCCUUAGUUUCAACAAGACUGACUUUUCACAGUUGGAAUUUCCAGCCCUCGGGAGACAGAGAAGGCAAAGGGACAAAGCACUUGGGAGGUAGCAGCCUUCUAAAAGAAACACUGCCUCUGCUUGGGGACACGUACUGAGGAAGGCGGAAAAGGGAGAGGAGGAGAAACCCCUGAGUGCUGACCCACAGGGGCCCCUUUUAUGG
ensembl:lncRNA